CGAGUUUGAUCAUGGCUCAGAGUGAACGCUGGCGGCAGGCCUAACACAUGCAAGUCGAGCGGCAGCGCGUCCGACCACCCUCGGGUGGUCGGAUGGCGGCGAGCGGCGGACGGGUGAGGAAUGCAUCGGAAUCUGCCUCGUUGUGGGGGAUAACGUAGGGGAACUUACGCUAAUACCGCAUACGACCUACGGGUGAAAGUGGGGGACCUUCGGGCCUCACGCGAUGAGAUGAGCCGAUGCCGGAUUAGCUAGUUGGCGGGGUAAAGGCCCACCAAGGCGACGAUCCGUAGCUGGUCUGAGAGGAUGAUCAGCCACACUGGAACUGAGACACGGUCCAGACUCCUACGGGAGGCAGCAGUGGGGAAUAUUGGACAAUGGGGGCAACCCUGAUCCAGCCAUGCCGCGUGUGUGAAGAAGGCCUUCGGGUUGUAAAGCACUUUUGUUGGGGAAGAAACCGGCCGGGUUAAUACCCUGGUUGAAUGACGGUACCCAAAGAAUAAGCACCGGCUAACUUCGUG
rnacentral:rRNA from 1 species